rnacentral:rRNA from 1 species
UACGGGGGGGGCAAGCGUUUGUUCGGAAUUACUGGGCGUAAAGGGCUCGUAGGCGGCCAACUAAGUCAGACGUGAAAUCCCUCGGCUUAACCGGGGAACUGCGUCUGAUACUGGAUGGCUUGAGUUCGGGGAGAGGGAUGCGGAAUUCCAGGAUGUAGGCGGUGAAAUGCGUAGAGAUCGGCAGGAACCAGCCCGGGGGAAGCCAGCCGACUGGCACGGUGCUGACACUGAGGGUGCGACAGCGUGGGGAGCAAACGGG